rnacentral:lncRNA from 1 species
AUGUUUUUCCCUCCAAACCCGUCGGCGCAGGUGUUCUCAUCCGUCAAAGCAGCGCUAACCCAUGUCUGUAUAUCGUUAAUCAUUAGUCCAAAAUUGGAGCCUUUAAGCUGACCCAUCUCGCUGAUUGACUUUCUCAGCUCAUCUAUCGUGUCCUCCAAUUCCUCCACGCAAUCUUGCAUGGCGCCCACCUCUGUAGGCUUCAAUCCUUGGCUUUUGGCAAGCUUCACCAUCAAGGCCGAGGUUGACUUGGCGGUUGAAAGGGUCACGUUUAGGGCGGCAUGGGCGAUGAGUUGGGGGCUUGUUUGGAUCAUGCUAGCCUGUGUUAAGAGAG